UGGCGGACGGGUGAGUAACGCGUGGGUAACCUACCUCAUACAGGGGGAUAACAGUUGGAAACGACCGCUAAUACCGCAUAACCCGCUAGUAUCGCAUGAUACGGACGGAAAAGAUUUAUCGGUGUGAGAUGGACCCGCGUCUGAUUAGCCAGUUGGCAGGGUAACGGCCUACCAAAGCAACGAUCAGUAGCCGGCCUGAGAGGGUGAACGGCCACAUUGGGACUGAGACACGGCCCAAACUCCUACGGGAGGCAGCAG
rnacentral:rRNA from 1 species